rnacentral:rRNA from 1 species
GACGAACGCUGGCGGCGUGCCUAAUACAUGCAAGUCCAGCGAAGCGGCGGAUGGGUGAGUAACGCGUGGGUCACCUGCCCUUCAGUAUGGGAUACCAUUUGGAAACAGAUGCUCCAACCGGCUAGUAAAGGAUGGAACUGCGAUGCAUUAGCUAGUUGGUAAGGUAACGGCUUACCAAGGCGAUGAUGCAUAGCCGAGUUGAGAGACUGAUCGGCCACAUUGGGACUGAGACACGGCCCCAACUCCUACGGGAGGCAGCAGUAGGGAAUCUUCCACAAUGGACGAAAGUCUGAUGGAGCAACGCCGCGUGAGUGAAGAAGGUUUUCGGAUCGUAAAGCUCUGUUGUUGGUGAAGCGGUAAUCAACCAGAAAGUCACGGCUAACUACGUGCCAGCAGCCGCGGUAAUAC